AGAGUUUGAUCCUGGCUCAGGAUGAACUCUAGUUACAGGCUUAACACAUGCAAGUCGAGGGGCAGCACGGGGGUAGCAAUACUCCGGGUGGCGACCGGCGCACGGGUGCGUAACGCGUAUCCAACCUUCCCAUUACUCUUGGAUAGCCUUCCGAAAGGGAGAUUAAUACAGGAUGGUAUCUGAAUUUCGCAUGUUGAUCAGAUUAAAGAUUUAUCGGUAAUGGAUGGGGAUGCGUGACAUUAGGUAGAUGGCGGGGUAACGGCCCACCAUGCCUACGAUGUCUAGGGGUUCUGAGAGGAAGGUCCCCCACACUGGAACUGAGACACGGUCCAGACUCCUACGGGAGGCAGCAGUGAGGAAUAUUGGUCAAUGGUCGGAAGACUGAACCAGCCAAGUAGCGUGAAGGAUGAAGGUUCUAUGGAUUGUAAACUUCUUUUAUACGGGAAUAAAACACGCCACGUGUGGUGUCUUGUAUGUACCGUAUGAAUAAGCAUCGGCUAACUCCGUGCCAGCAGCCGCGGUAAUACGGAGGAUGCGAGCGUUAUCCGGAUUUAUUGGGUUUAAAGGGUGCGUAGGCGGCCUAUCAAGUCGGUGGUGAAAUUUCGUGGCUUAACCACGUCACUGCCAUCGAAACUGAUAAGCUUGAGUGCGUUGGGGGUAGCUGGAAUGUGCGGUGUAGCGGUGAAAUGCAUAGAUAUCGUACAGAACGCCGAUCGCGAAGGCAGGUUACCACGCCGCAACUGACGCUGAGGCACGAAAGCGCGGGGAUCGAACAGGAUUAGAUACCCUGGUAGUCCGCGCCGUAAACGAUGG
rnacentral:rRNA from 1 species